rnacentral:tRNA from 1 species
GGAGAGUAAACCAGACAGGGUUUGGGGCUGACUGCUAAUCAGUGCGUCUGGCGAAAGCUGGAUUCGGUUCGAGACCGAUGCUCUCCGCCA